CUCUAAGUCUCCACACCAAGGGUUAAGUGUGAAGAUGAAAUGGAUAACUUAGGGAAGAAGAGAUUGCUAGAUUAAUCUCCCUAAGUGGCCGGCCUCUUUGUAGAGAGAAAGAGAGAAAAUGUUUCACCUCUUUGCCUCAAAGAAAAACCCUAAUGAGAAAUAAAAGCUAUAAAGUUCCUUUUAUACUUCAUUUCAAGUGAGUGGCAAACUUGUAAUUAAUCCAAGCUUGCC
rnacentral:lncRNA from 1 species